rnacentral:lncRNA from 12 species
AUGGCCCUCCCUGGGGUCUCUAGGGCCUGGGUAGGUGUGGGGACUCCAGGCUGGGGACAUGAGACAAAGGGAGAUAGGGUGCUGACACCCGGGGGGGUCCUCAUCCAUAUCCCAGCCCCAGCCACCACCACUUCCUCCUGUGGCCAGCCUCGUAACCGACAGGCGGAACCUGGGGGGGCUCAACUGCCCCAGCCCCAUGGCCACGCCCCACGGGGGCCCAGGGUGAGCCCGGCACUCCCUGCAGACAUUGCCCCUGGAGGCCUCUCAGGGCAGAAAGGCCUACGGGCAGCUGGGCAGGAGAAACAGGCCUGCUUCUGGGGACACAGCCACACAGAUGGGGACGUGCCCAAGGUCUCCCAGUUGGGCAGCGGACAAGUGGCCUGUCUGCCCCUCGUCCUGAGCCCUGCCCUACACGUGGUGUUUCCUGCCUGGGCCUCACCCAUCCUCCUCUGCUGGGGGAGGCGGUCAGGACCCAGAUCUCUUGUGGCUCCCCUCACUGGGACUCAGUUUCCUUUCCUGGCUCUGCAACACUGUGGCUCACAGAGCCCUCCCUGCCUUCCUCAUUCUCAACUCCCUGCCUGGUUGCUGCGUGACCACUGCCUGGCUCCCUCUGACGUCUGUUCCCUGAGGAGGACCCAGGCUCUACCAGCUAUGCACUGCAUGACCCAGGCCAGCGCACCCCUCCCUGCCACUUGGGCAUGGCCAUCCGCCUCUCUGCUGUGGGGGAGGGGCAUUGGCAGGGGCGGCACCUGGGGCCCUCUCCUGGCAGGAGCUAUGGACUCGUGUGCACAGCCCUCGACAGUUUACAAAGCUCCACCAGGACUCUCAGUAGCACCAGCCUGUAGGGAAACAGCCUCCACUGAGCAGAGGAAACGGGCAGAGAACAGCCACCGCAGACCCCACCUGGCCCAACAGAGGUCUGCGGCCAUUGCAGGGCAGGGCACAAUGGAGGCCCCUCAGGCUGCCAGCCUAGGGGACCCACCCAGGCCUUGGUUUACAUAUGUGACACACAGGGACUGA